CUCCAAAAUGUCGCGUUCGCCGGAAAUGUUGCCGAAAAGCGCCAGCAGAGAAAAUGAGGCAGCAGAUAAUAAUGAAGAAAUAUUAUUAAAACAUUAAACAGUUAUUUGUGGACCAAUAUGACAUCUGUGUCGAUAAUGUAG